GACGAACGCUGGCGGCGUGCUUAACACAUGCAAGUCGAACGUGAAUUUUAUGGAAUAGCCUUCGGGAUAGGAAAUGAAAUGAAAGUGGCGAACGGGUGAGUAACACGUGAGCAACCUACCUUACACAGGGGGAUAGCCGUUGGAAACGACGAUUAAUACCGCAUGAGACCACAGAACCGCAUGGUAAAGGGGUCAAAGAUUUAUCGGUGUAAGAUGGGCUCGCGUCUGAUUAGCUAGUUGGAAGGGUAAAGGCCUACCAAGGCGACGAUCAGGCCGGUCUGAGAGGAUGAACGGCCACAUUGGAACUGAGACACGGUCCAAACUCCUACGGGAGGCAGCAGUGGGGAAUAUUGCACAAUGGGGGAAACCCUGAUGCAGCGACGCCGCGUGAGCGAAGAAGGUUUUCGAAUCGUAAAGCUCUGUCCUAUGAGAAGAUA
rnacentral:rRNA from 1 species